rnacentral:rRNA from 1 species
AUUGAACGCUGGCGGCAGGCCUAACACAUGCAAGUCGAACGGUAACAGGAAGCAGCUUGCUGCUUUGCUGACGAGUGGCGGACGGGUGAGUAAUGUCUGGGAAACUGCCCGAUGGAGGGGGAUAACUACUGGAAACGGUAGCUAAUACCGCAUAACGUCGCAAGACCAAAGAGGGGGACCUUAGGGCCUCUUGCCAUCGGAUGUGCCCAGAUGGGAUUAGCUAGUAGGUGGGGUAACGGCUCCCCUAGGCGACGAUCCCUAGCUGGUCUGAGAGGAUGACCAGCCACACUGGAACUGAGACACGGUCCAGACUCCUACGGGAGGCAGCAGUGGGGAAUAUUGCACAAUGGGCGCAAGCCUGAUGCAGCCAUGCCGCGUGUAUGAAGAAGGCCUUCGGGUUGUAAAGUACUUUCAGCGGGGAGGAAGGGAGUAAAGUUAAUACCUUUGCUCAUUGACGUUACCCGCAGAAGAAGCACCGGCUAACUCCGUG